GGCGAACGCUGGCGGCGUGCCUAAUACAUGCAAGUAGAACGCACAGUUUAUACCGUAGCUUGCUACACCAUAGACUGUGAGUUGCGAACGGGUGAGUAACGCGUAGGUAACCUGCCUGGUAGCGGGGGAUAACUAUUGGAAACGAUAGCUAAUACCGCAUAAUAUUAAUUAUUGCAUGAUAAUUAAUUGAAAGGUGCAAUUGCACCACUACCAGAUGGACCUGCGUUGUAUUAGCUAGUAGGUGAGGUAACGGCUCACCUAGGCGACGAUACAUAGCCGACCUGAGAGGGUGGUCGGCCACACUGGGACUGAGACACGGCCCAGACUCCUACGGGAGGCAGCAGUAGGGAAUCUUCGGCAAUGGACGAAAGUCUGACCGAGCAACGCCGCGUGAGUGAAGAAGGUUUUCGGAUCGUAAAGCUCUGUUGUAAGAGAAGAACGGGUGUGAGAGUGGAAAGUUCACACUGUGACGGUAUCUUACCAGAAAGGGACGGCUAACUACGUG
rnacentral:rRNA from 1 species